CUCUCUAGUGACCGAUAGUGAACCAGUACCGUGAGGGAAAGGUGAAAAGUACCCCGGAAGGGGAGUGAAAGAGAACUUGAAACCGUGUGCUUACAAGUAGUCAGAGCCCGUUAAUGGGUGAUGGCGUGCCUUUUGUAGAAUGAACCGGCGAGUUACGAUCUGAUGCAAGGUUAAGCAGAAAAUGUGGAGCCGUAGCGAAAGCGAGUCUGAAUAGGGCGAAUGAGUAUUUGGUCGUAGACCCGAAACCAGGUGAUCUACCCUUGGUCAGGUUGAAGUUCAGGUAACACUGAAUGGAGGACCGAACCGACUUACGUUGAAAAGUGAGCGGAUGAACUGAGGGUAGCGGAGAAAUUCCAAUCGAACUUGGAGAUAGCUGGUUCUCUCCGAAAUAGCUUUAGGGCUAGCCUCAAGUGAUGAUUAUUGGAGGUAGAGCACUGUUUGGACGAGGGGCCCCUCUCGGGUUACCGAAUUCAGACAAACUCCGAAUGCCAAAUAAUUUAACUUGGGAGUCAGAAUGUGGGUGAUAAGGUCCAUAUUCGAAAGGGAAACAGCCCAGACCACCAGCUAAGGUCCCAAAAUAUAUGUUAAGUGGAAAAGGAUGUGGCGUUGCCCAGACAACUAGGAUGUUGGCUUAGAAGCAGCCAUCAUUUAAAGAGUGCGUAAUAGCUCACUAGUCGAGUGACACUGCGCCGAAAAUGUACCGGGGCUAAACAUAUUACCGAAGCUGUGGAUUGUCCUUUGGACAAUGGUAGGAGAGCGUUCUAAGGGCGUUGAAGCAUGAUCGCAAGGACAUGUGGAGCGCUUAGAAGUGAGAAUGCCGGUGUGAGUAGCGAAAGACGGGUGAGAAUCCCGUCCACCGAUUGACUAAGGUUUCCAGAGGAAGGCUCGUCCGCUCUGGGUUAGUCGGGUCCUAAGCUGAGGCCGACAGGCGUAGGCGAUGGAUAACAGGUUGAUAUUCCUGUACCACCAUUAUUCGUUUUAAGCGAUGGGGGGACGCAGUAGGAUAGGCGAAGCGUGCUGUUGGAGUGCACGUCCAAGCAGUGAGAUUGAGUGUUAGGCAAAUCCGGCACUCUUAAGAUUGAGCUGUGAUGGGGAGAGGAACUUGUUCCUCGAGUCGUUGAUUUCACACUGCCGAGAAAAGCCUCUAGCUAGAAUAACGGUGCCCGUACCGCAAACCGACACAGGUAGUCAAGAUGAGAAUUCUAAGGUGAGCGAGCGAACUCUCGUUAAGGAACUCGGCAAAAUGACCCCGUAACUUCGGGAGAAGGGGUGCUCUUUGAGGUUCACGCUUCGAAGAGCCGCAGUGAAUAGGCCCAAGCGACUGUUUAUCAAAAACACAGGUCUCUGCUAAACCGUAAGGUGACGUAUAGGGGCUGACGCCUGCCCGGUGCUGGAAGGUUAAGAGGAGUGGUUAGCGCAAGCGAAGCUACGAAUCGAAGCCCCAGUAAACGGCGGCCGUAACUAUAACGGUCCUAAGGUAGCGAAAUUCCUUGUCGGGUAAGUUCCGACCCGCACGAAAGGCGUAACGAUUUGGGCACUGUCUCAACGAGAGACUCGGUGAAAUCAUAGUACCGGUGAAGAUGCCGGU
rnacentral:rRNA from 1 species